GGUUUAAUUCGACGCAACGCGCACGAACCUUACCAGGUCUUGACAUCCCGAUGCUAUUUCUAGAGAUAGAAAGUUACUUCGGUACAUCGGUGACAGGUGGUGCAUGGUUGUCGUCAGCUCGUGUCGUGAGAUGUUGGGUUAGGUCCCGCAACGAGCGCAACCCCUAUUGUUAGUUGCCAUCAUUCAGUUGGGCACUCUAGCGAGACUGCCGGUAAUAAACCGGAGGAAGGUGGGAUGACGUCAAAUCAUCAUGCCCCUUAUGACCUGGGCUACACACGUGCUACAAUGGUUGGUACAACGAGUUGCGAGUCGGUGACGGCGAGCUAAUCUCUUAAAGCCAAUCUCAGUUCGGAUUGUAGGCUGCAACUCGCCUACAUGAAGUCGGAAUCGCUAGUAAUCGCGGAUCAGCAUGCCGCGGUGAAUACGUUCCCGGGCCUU
rnacentral:rRNA from 1 species